rnacentral:rRNA from 1 species
AUUGAACGCUGGCGGCAGGCUUAACACAUGCAAGUCGAGCGAGCGGCGGACGGGUGAGUAAUGUAUGGGAAACUGCCCGAUGGAGGGGGAUAACUACUGGAAACGGUAGCUAAUACCGCAUACCAUCAGAGGUGCCGAGAUGGGAUUAGCUAGUAGGUGGGGUAAUGGCCCACCUAGGCGACGAUCCCUAGCUGGUCUGAGAGGAUGACCAGCCAUCCUGGAACUGAGACACGGUCCAGACUCCUACGGUAGGCAGCAGUGGGAACUAUUGCCCAAUGGGCGAACUCCUGAUGCAGCCAUGCCGCGUUUGUGAAGAGUGCUUUCGGGUUGUAAAGCACUUUCAGCGAGGAGGCGUUUCUCCCAGAAGAAGCACCGGCUAACUCCGUGCCAGCAGCGCGGUAAUAC